GGACUUCCAACAAAGUAGUGGCAAUGUUAGGAGGUUGGGUGUAAAAUCCACUUGCUUCUGUGGUCACAUUGUAGUUUUACGCAUUGCGAGAACCCCUAAAAACAAGGGCAAAGAAUUUUGAGUUGCCCUAACUUCAAGGUCAGUUUAAUAUAAGCAUAAAUGUUUGUUUAUUUUUUUUGGGAUUUGACAAGGGAGUGUGCCUAUAUUCGUUGAACAGGGUGGGGGCGAAGAUUUCGUUGGCUGCAAUUUCUUUCACUGGUGCAGUGAAGAAGCAAUAGAAGAAAGAAAUGUGCCGUAUGGAGAAGAAAGGAAUAGAAGUGUGUUUUAUUUAUAAAGCUGAGUGAUUAGUGUUUAAAACUGUGUCAUUUGAUUUCUUUACUUGAAAUGGAAGUUUUUUUGAAAUCCUUGAAUCUUUUUACAUCGAACUCUACAAAUAAAAGACGUUUUAAAAGCAGUGAAAACCAAAGAAAAUAAUGUUAACUUUUUAUUUUGGUUUUCACCCUAAGAAAUCAAUAGCUUUGAA
rnacentral:lncRNA from 1 species